GCAGUCGCCGCGGGAAUACGGAGGGCGCGAGCGUUACCCGGAUUUACUGGGCGUAAAGGGCGUGUAGGCGGCCUGGGGCGUCCCAUGUGAAAGGCCACGGCUCAACCGUGGAGGAGCGUGGGAUACGCUCGGGCUAGAGGGUGGGAGAGGGUGGUGGAAUUCCCGGAGUAGCGGUGAAAUGCGCAGAUACCGGGAGGAACGCCGAUGGCGAAGGCAGCCACCUGGUCCACUUCUGACGCUGAGGCGCGAAAGCGUGGGGAGCAAACCGGAUUAGAGACCCCGGUAGUCCCUGUCUCUUAUAC
rnacentral:rRNA from 1 species